rnacentral:rRNA from 1 species
GACGAACGCUGGCGGCGUGCUUAACACAUGCAAGUCGAACGAUGAAGCCGGAGCUUGCUCCGGUGGAUUAGUGGCGAACGGGUGAGUAACACGUGAGCAAUCUGCCCUUGACUCUGGGAUAACUGCGGGAAACUGUAGCUAAUACCGGAUACGACACCUUGGGGCAUCCCAGGGUGUGGAAAGAAUUUCGGUCAAGGAUGAGCUCGCGGCCUAUCAGCUAGUUGGUGAGGUAAUGGCUCACCAAGGCGACGACGGGUAGCCGGCCUGAGAGGGUGACCGGCCACACUGGAACUGAGACACGGUCCAGACUCCUACGGGAGGCAGCAGUGGGGAAUAUUGCACAAUGGGCGAAAGCCUGAUGCAGCAACGCCGCGUGAGGGAUGAAGGCCUUCGGGUUGUAAACCUCUUUUAGCAGGGAAGAAGUUUAUUGACGGUACCUCAUGAAUAAGGGCCUGCAAAACUCGUGCCAGCAGCCGCGGUAA